UGAGUCAGCUAGGCUGUCGCGGUUGGGGAAACCUUAUAACCUAAGUAGUCCCCGUCGAGGAAAGUCCGGACUCCAUAGAGCAGGGUGGUUGCUAACGGCAACCCGGGGUGACCCGCGGGAUAGUGCCACAGAAAACAAACCGCCACUUCGGUGGUAAGGGUGAAAAGGUGCGGUAAGAGCGCACCAGUAUUGUCGGUGACGGCAGUAGCUUGGUAAACCCCACUCGGAGCAAGAUCAAAGGCUUCACGAUUGUGAGGCUGCGCGCAUGGUUGACGGCUGCUCGCUGAAGUGCGCGGGUGGAUCGCUUGAGGUACUCGGCAACGAUGUAUCCAGAUGGAUGACGGUCGCCUGUGAGCGGUGCUUGUAGGAACAGAAUCCGGCUUAUCGGCUGACUCAUUUA
rnacentral:RNase_P_RNA from 1 species